UUGGUUUCAAAUAAUUGACUCUGUAAUAAUCAAAUUCACCCCAAACAGAUUAAGAUUUGCUAACACUCUUUCCCAAGGUAAACUAUAGGCUUUCAGGAAAUACUAAAACGCAAGUUUUAAAAUGUUAUGAAAAACAGCAGCGCUUCUCGAGUAAAUACAUGUUCUCUCUUUCAGCCUGCUCUGCCACACCAACCUUCCAAAAGACUACUUGAAAAGAGACAGCUAUAAUUUGAUCAGUCCACAAUGAAACUGCUACACACAGCACUAAAAACACAGCAAGUGAACAGAAUCACCCCGAAAAAGACAAAUCACAUGUAAUUCAAAGGAGGCUCCAAGUCAAUCAAGGUAAAAAUAAUUUAUAAUAUUGGGACAACUAGUUAUCAAUUUUAGCAAAAAACAAAAAUGAGAAAAUUAUCAUCUUAUAUUAUGGUGGGGAGGGGAAUCAAUUCUGAAAGUAAGAAAAUUUCUAAAUUUAAAAACAGAGCAAACCACAAGGAGAUAAACAGAUAGGACUAUUAAACAUUUAAAGUUUCUCUCUCUCUAUAUAUAUAUAUAUUAAACUCUAUAAUUAAACAGCAACCCAAGAAAAAAAAUCAGAGGAUACAGACCCAAAAGACAAGCGAGUAAAGCACGAGAACUUCCUGAUUUAGCUAUGCGGCUUUGAAAUAAAUGUAUGUUAAAAGUUA